UCCAUUCAUAAAUGUAGCAUGUCACACCUCUGGAUCUACAAAAUGCAGUGUUGGGCUUUGCCAAAGUACACACAUUUAAUACUGCACCGAAGGAAACCGACCUCUUGUUUAAUUAACCUUCUCAUUGUAAGACAACCACAGGGCUCUCGUAACGGAAACUGUUCGUUUUCCCAAGCAUAAUUCUGAUACAAGUGAUACAGGAGGUGUCUGGGCCUGUUUUAUGUCAUUGACUUGGGGAUCACUGCCUUAAAAUUGAGGGAUCUGUAAUGGAGAGUAUUUCUCUUGUGAGAUUAUAAAAUCACUUUGAGAGAAUGAGAUCAUUUUCUUAGUCCAUGUUGUGAUUAUUACCUAAAUUACAGAACCCAUGGCAUCUUAAGUCAUGAAACACAUGGGAUCUGUCUCGAGCUUAACAAAUAAAUGUGUUUUAAUAUGCCGAAUGAUUGGAUUAUGGUCACAUUUUCAGCUCUGUUUCUUGG